UGUAUUUAGCGGCGGCGCGGAUCGCGCAGAGCCCGCGGCGGCGACAUGGCCGCCGCAUGCACGGAACCGCCGAGGCUGCAGCAGUUGCUGGAGCGGGAUCCUUACCUGGCGCCCUUCCGGAGCGACUUCCAGCGCAGGUAUUCUCUGUUUUAUAACCGUUUGAAGAACAUUGAGGAAAGCGAAGGCGGCCUUGAUAAAUUUACGAAAAGUUACAAAACCUUCGGAGUUAACCAACUUGCGGAUGGUGGAAUAUACUGCAAAGAGUGGGCACCUGGAGCAGAAGCAGUGUUUCUUGCAGGUGACUUCAAUGGCUGGAAUCCAUUUUCUCACCCAUAUAAGAAGUUGGAAUAUGGGAAGUGGGAGUUGUUCAUUCCACCUGAAGAUGGCCAUUCUCCCGUACCCCAUGGAUCAAAGCUAAAGGUGGUGAUUCGUGCUCAAAACGGCGCCCUCCUCUAUCGUAUUUCACCCUGGGCAAGAUAUGUGGUCCGUGAUGAAGACAAAGUGAAUUAUGAUUGGGUUCACUGGAAUCCACCACAGUCAUACAUACAUAAGAAUCCUUCUCCCAAGAGAUUAAAAAGCCUAAGAAUUUAUGAAUCACAUGUGGGAAUUGCUUCCCCAGAAGGGAAAGUAGCUUCUUAUAAAAACUUCACAUACAAUGUACUACCUAGAAUAAAGGAUCUUGGCUAUAACUGUGUCCAGCUGAUGGCUAUUAUGGAGCAUGCAUACUAUGCCAGUUUUGGUUAUCAGAUCACAAGUUUCUUCGCAGCAUCAAGCCGGUAUGGAACUCCUGACGACCUGAAGGAAAUGAUUGACGUUGCUCACUCAAUGGGCAUCACAGUCCUGCUUGAUGUGGUGCACAGCCACGCCUCAAAAAACUCAGAAGAUGGUCUCAACCAGUUUGAUGGUACAGAUUCUUGUUUCUUCCAUUCUGGGUAUAGAGGCAAUCACCAGCUCUGGGACAGCAGACUCUUUGACUAUGCAAACUGGGAAGUCCUGAGGUUCCUCCUGUCUAAUUUGAGGAUGUGGAUUGAAGACUAUCACUUUGAUGGAUUCCGGUUUGACGGCGUUACGUCUAUGUUGUAUCACCACCACGGCAUCGGCACAGGGUUCAGUGGAGAUUACAAUGAGUAUUUUGGCCUACACGUGGAUGAAGAUGCUUUAUGUUACCUGAUGCUGGCCAAUCACAUGAUUAAUACCUUGCACCCAGAAUGCAUAACCAUAGCAGAGGAUGUUUCUGGAAUGCCAGCUCUCUGUCGGCCUGUGGCAGAGGGAGGAGGGGGCUUUGAUUAUCGACUUGCCAUGGCCAUUCCAGAUAAGUGGAUACAGAUAAUUAAAGAGCUGAAAGAUGAAGACUGGAAUAUGGGCAAUAUUGUACAUACAUUAACAAACAGACGGCAUGAAGAAAAAUACAUUGCUUAUGCAGAGAGUCAUGACCAGGCCCUGGUUGGUGACAAGACACUGGCCUUUCGCCUGAUGGAUGCAGAGAUGUACACAAAUAUGAGCGUGCUCAUGCCUCUGACGCCGGUUAUUGAUCGUGGGAUACAGCUUCAUAAAAUGAUUCGUCUCAUUACUCAUGCACUCGGAGGAGAGAGCUAUCUGAACUUCAUGGGUAAUGAAUUUGGACAUCCAGAAUGGCUUGACUUCCCCAGAAUAGGGAAUAAUGAGAGCUACCACUAUGCCAGAAGACAGUUUAAUCUUACUGAGGAUGAUCUUCUUCGCUAUAAAUUCCUAAAUGCCUUUGAUAGAGAUAUGAAUAAAUUGGAGGAAAGAUUUGGCUGGCUUGCAUCUCCCCAGGCCUAUGUGAGUGAAAAGCAUGAAUCCAAUAAGGUUAUAGCAUUUGAGAGAGCAGGUCUUAUUUUUAUUUUUAACUUCCACCCAUACCAAAGUUAUGUGGACUACAGAGUGGGUAUUGAGACUCCAGGAAAGUAUAAAAUCCUUCUGGAUUCUGAUGCUGGAGAAUAUGGAGGGCAUCAAAGGCUGGACCACAAUACAGAGUACUUCUCUGAAGAAUAUUCUCACAAUUAUCGACCUAAUUCAAUUAUGUGUCUGCAUGUGACAGUGCCUUCAUAGUGUGGAGCACCUCCAGCCAAGCCCCCAGAGGAUGCCACAUGCACCAAAUAAAGGUGUACAUUCCAAGCAGAGUGGCUCUUGUGCUUCACAACACGGACAUCCCAAAGUGAAGUUCCCUGUAACUACCACCGAAGAAGCAAGUCACAAAGUGCUGAUACACUGUACUAGUACUAAAUACAACAAAACUUGCUCUGAGGAGGCUUUCUGAGGCCUGAGUAUAGUAAUAUAGGUGUUUAAAAUGUAAGAUUAAUAUUCACAUGUAAUUGCAGAGCUCUUUGACUUGCUAGACCCUCUUUUGAGGAAGCUUUACAAAGAGGCAGAAAAGAAAAAUGUUGGGUUUGUAGUUCUAGUAGUACAAAAUUAACUUAAGGUGUUGCAAAGCAGCAGGUAUUCUCAAUUAAAUUGUUGUUUACAGAAUUUUUAUCAGGAUGAGACGAGUGUUCCUGCUCCCAAAGUUUGUAAUUUCUUAUAAUCCUCAUUUUGAUAGUGAAUUCAAAUAUUCAUUAUAUAUUAAUGCUUCUUACUAAAAGUAAGUAGUUUUACUUAAAUAAAACAGAAGUUUUUGGCUAAAAGGCAGCCUUAACGGUUUGUGGGACCUAAUUGAGGCUCCUCUUCUUCAAUGAAGUCUAACAUGGAAUUAGAAAUGUUUAUCCAAAUGGAUGAGAAGGUCCUCUGAGAGUCUUGUACUUUGCCAUUUUUUAUUUAAUUACAAAUGCACAAAAAUGCUGGGCAGCAAAAGGAGCGGGCUGAUUGAGUGGGGGCCUGCUGAUGCUGUUGUGUGUGCUGGUUAUCUGCUCCCACCUAAAUCACUUAAUCUGAGCAUCUCACUUCUACAGCUGGACAAAAAUGACACAGCUAUUUAUUUAGAUCACUAAAACAUUCAGUGAGACGUACGUUUUGGUAUUAAUGCAACAAUACUGCACUGGAAUAGGUACUUAAAGUGUAGUUCUUCCCACUCUAUUUAUUUCACGAACAUCAGGACCUUGCAAUACUGAUUUCACUACUUCCAGAAGCUGCCUUUCAGCUUGGAACUUGAUGAUGUUCUUGCAUUUUAUAACUUUUGAAACAUUGCUUCUCGUGAAGAAGCAAGUCUCAAAAUUCAGUGAUCAAAACUAAGGUUGGGGUUUUUUGUUUGUUUUGUUUUUUGGGGUUUUUUUUAAUUAAAAUUAAGAUAGAUAAUUAUUGGAGUGCUGCUAAGAUAAAUUCAAGUGAGUUCCUUCAUGAGAUACAACAUUUUUGUAAAGAGUAAGAUUUUGUAUAUUUGAAAAUAUAUUGCAGAGUAUUCUGGAAAAUUAAUACCAAAUUAAUGAGACAUGCUUUGUUUUGUUCCAUUUAUUUAAAAACAUAUUCAAAUUGGUUCUGAAAUGAAUGUCUUUUGUACCAAUCUGAAUUUCUCUAACUUUUUAAAGUAGCCAAAGAGGAAGAUGUCCGUGACCAUUUCCAAGUCAUAAUUUUACCCAGUUUCCUUUGUGAACCAUUGUGUAAACUACUGAAUCGUUGGUGCCAACACUGACAAUCUAUUCACAGUUCUUGGAAUGCUGACUUGUGGCUUACUUCUUAAACAAAAUAAGGGAUGGAAUAAUGCAGCAUGAUGGAAAACAGUCAUUUGCAGAGUUCACACUGAAAGGGCUUUGUGAACAUCCCCAGUCUGAUAUGUUGUGUGUGGCAGAGAAUGUUAUAUUGCAGUUGAGUACCAUAGGAUCAUGCUUCAUUUUCCUCCACACCAGUUUGAUCAUUGUUUGGUUGUGAGCAUUCCUGUUACACUAUGACUUUAAAUAAAAUAUACUGAACUGUUUUAGCAA